rnacentral:rRNA from 1 species
AGAGUUUGAUCAUGGCUCAGGAUGAACGCUGGCGGCGUGCCUAAUACAUGCAAGUCGAACGAGGUGCUUUUGUAGCAAUACGAGAGUAUCCUAGUGGCGAACGGGUGAGUAACGCGUUGGUGACCUACCCCAAAGAGUGGGAUAACAGUCCGAAAGGGCUGCUAAUACCGCAUGUGGUCAUUGGGUUUAGAAACCGGUGACUAAAGGAGCAAUUCGCUUUGGGAGGGACCUGCGUCCCAUCAGCUAGUUGGUGAGGUAAUGGCUCACCAAGGCGACGACGGGUAGGGGACCUGAGAGGGUGACCCCCCACAAUGGAACUGAAACACGGUCCAUACACCUACGGGUGGCAGCAGUAGGGAAUAUUGCUCAAUGGGCGAAAGCCUGAAGCAGCAACGCCGCGUGUGUGAUGAAGGCCUUCGGGUCGUAAAGCACUUUUCUGGGAGAUGAGAAAGGACAGUAUCCCAGGAAUAAGUCUCGGCUAACUACGUGCCAGCCGCCGCGGUAAUAC